AACGAACGCUGGCGGCAGGCUUAACACAUGCAAGUCGAGCGCCCCGCAAGGGGAGCGGCAGACGGGUGAGUAACGCGUGGGAAUCUACCCAUCUCUACGGAAUAACGCAUGGAAACGUGUGCUAAUACCGUAUACGUCCUUCGGGAGAAAGAUUUAUCGGAGAUGGAUGAGCCCGCGUUGGAUUAGCUAGUUGGUGGGGUAAAGGCCUACCAAGGCGACGAUCCAUAGCUGGUCUGAGAGGAUGAUCAGCCACACUGGGACUGAGACACGGCCCAGACUCCUACGAGAGGCAGCAGUGGCGAAUAUUGGACAAUGGGCGCAAGCCUGAUCCAGCCAUGCCGCGUGAGUGAUGAAGGCCCUAGGGUUGUAAAGCUCUUUCACCGGUGAAGAUAAUGACGGUAACCGGAGAAGAAGCCCCGGCUAACUUCGUGCCAGCCGCCGCGGUAAGAC
rnacentral:rRNA from 1 species